rnacentral:rRNA from 1 species
UACGGGGGGGGCAAGCGUUGUUCGGAAUUACUGGGCGUAAAGGGCGUGUAGGCGGCCAACUAAGUCCGACGUGAAAUCCCCAGGCUUAACCUGGGAACUGCGUCGGAUACUGGAUGGCUUGAAUCCGGGAGAGGGAUGCAGAAUUCCAGGUGUAGCGGUGAAAUGCGCAGAGACCCGGAGGAACACCGGUGGCGAAGGCGGUUCUCUGGGCAUGUCCUGACGCUGAGGAGCGAAAGUGUGGGGAGCGAACAGG